AUGCACAAUAUAGCCAAGAUCCUCUGCAAGUUGCUUGCCAACAGGCUGGCCCCGGAGCUCGAUUCCCUUGUCUCUCUUUCCCAGAGCGCUUUCAUUAAGAAGAGAUGUAUUCAGGACAACUUCCUUUAUGUGCACAAUGUCAUCAGAGAGGCUCACACUAAGAAGAAGCCAUUAAUCUUCCUCAAGCUUGACAUUGCAAAAGCGUUUGACUCCGUUGGUUGGGGCUUCUUGUUGGAGACCUUGUCUGCUUUUGGCUUUGGUCGGCGCUGGAGAAACAUUGUGUCUGUCAUCCUGAGUUCUGCUUCCUCAAGAAUUUUGUUAAAUGGCACACCUGGUCCGCCCUUCAGGCAUAUGUGUGGUCUUAGACAGGGCGACCCCUUGUCCCCGAUGUUGUUCAUUCUCGCCAUGGAGCCGCUUCGGAAACUGUUGGAUCUUGCAACGGAAGGCGGUGUUCUAACUAAGCUGGGACCUAAGGCAGCCAGAUUUCGCACAAGUAUGUACGCUGAUGAUGCGGCCCUGUUUUUAAACCCUAUCAAGGACGAGGUGCAUGCAGUAAGAGCAAUAUUGGAUAGGUUUGGGGAGGCCUCUGGUCUAAAAAUCAACAGCCAGAAAUGUGUUGCAUAUCCAGUUAGGUGCGAGGGGCUUGACUUCCAGGAUAUUAUCCAAGAUUUUGGUGGGACGGUAGGCUCUCUCCCGUGUCGUUACCUUGGACUGCCGCUCAGCUAUCACAAGCUUAGAAGAAUUGAGGUCCUCCCUCUCAUAGAUGGCAUGGCCGGAAGGCUUAAAGGAUGA
rnacentral:rRNA from 1 species